rnacentral:rRNA from 1 species
GAUGAACGCUGGCGGCGUGCCUAAUACAUGCAAGUCGAGCGAACGGACGAGAAGCUUGCUUCUCUGAUGUUAGCGGCGGACGGGUGAGUAACACGUGGAUAACCUACCUAUAAGACGGGGAUAACUUCGGGAAACCGUGGCUAAUACCGGAUAAUAUUUUGAACCGCAUGGUUCAAAAGUGAAAGACGGUCUUGCUGUCACUUAUAGAUGGAUCCGCGCUGCAUUAGCUAGUUGGUAAGGUAACGGCUUACCAAGGCAACGAUGCAUAGCCGACCUGAGAGGGUGGUAGGCCACACUGGAACUGGGACGCGGUCCAGACUCCUACGGGAGGCAGCAGUAGGGAAUCUUCCGCAGUGGGCGGAAGCCUGGCGGAGCAGCGCCGCGUGAGUGAUGAAGGUCUUCGGAUCGUAAAACUCUGUUAUUAGUGAAGAACAUAUGUGUAAGUAACUGUGCACAUCUUGACGGUACCUAAUCAGAAAGCCACGGCUAACUACGUG